rnacentral:rRNA from 1 species
AGUGAACGCUGGCGGUAGGCCUAACACAUGCAAGUCGAACGGCAGCACAGUAAGAGCUUGCUCUUACGGGUGGCGAGUGGCGGACGGGUGAGGAAUACAUCGGAAUCUACUUUUUCGUGGGGGAUAACGUAGGGAAACUUACGCUAAUACCGCAUACGACCUACGGGUGAAAGCAGGGGAUCUUCGGACCUUGCGCGAUUGAUGAGCCGAUGUCGGAUUAGCUAGUUGGCGGGGUAAAGGCCCACCAAGGCGACGAUCCGUAGCUGGUCUGAGAGGAUGAUCAGCCACACUGGAACUGAGACACGGUCCAGACUCCUACGGGAGGCAGCAGUGGGGAAUAUUGGACAAUGGGCGCAAGCCUGAUCCAGCCAUACCGCGUGGGUAAAGAAGGCCUUCGGGUUGUAAAGCCCUUUUGUUGGGAAAGAAAAGCAGCAGGUUAAUACCCCGCUGUUCUGACGGUACCCAAAGAAUAAGCACCGGCUAACUUCGUG